UAUGUGAUCGUCUCUCGCAUAUCAAUAAGCGGAGGAAAAGAAACUAACAAGGAUUCCCCUAGUAACGGCGAGUGAAGCGGGAAGAGCUCAAAUUUGAAAUCUUAAAGGGUUUCCCUUUACGAAUUGUAGUUUAAAGAAGUGUUUUCUGUUGAGGUUUUGGUAAAAGUUCUUUGGAAUAGGACAUCAUAGAGGGUGAGAAUCCCGUAUUUGACCUUUACUUUCAACUUUGUGAUACACUUUCAAAGAGUCGGAUUGUUUGGGAAUGCAGUCCAAAAUGGGUGGUAAAUUUCAUCUAAAGCUAAAUAUUGGCGAGAGACCGAUAGCGAACAAGUACCGUGAGGGAAAGAUGAAAAGAACUUUGAAAAGAGAGUUAAACAGUACGUGAAAUUGUCAAAAGGGAAGCGUUUGACACCAGUGUUGUUUUUCUGAAAAUCAAUUAAAGAACUGUUUAUGCUAAGUUGUUUAGACUUUAUCAGCUAACUGUUUAGUUUUGAGCUUUUCUUUAAUGCACUUUUCAGUUAACAAGUCAACAUCAAUUUCUUUUGCUGUAAAAAAGCUUGAGGAAGGUGGCUUGAGAUUCGUCUUAAGUGUUUAUAGCCUCUUGCCUAUGCAGUCGGAGAGAUUGAGGUUUGCAGCGUAGAUCCUUCGGGGCUAAAUGCAUUUGUGCUAAGUUAUAGCAUUUUAUAGACAACUUGUUGACUAUGAUUUGUCUUGUAGCUUACUCGCUUAUGUUAUUUUACCUACGCUUAGGAUGUUGAAUCUGUGCGAGACUAC
rnacentral:rRNA from 1 species